UGGGGCUGAUACUUUUUCCUUAACUCAUGCCGCUGUGCCUUUGUAUUUUAUUUCACAAUUGUAUGAGUUGAGUACAGAGUAUCAGUCCA
rnacentral:pre_miRNA from 1 species